rnacentral:lncRNA from 1 species
GCCAGAAUCCAUAUCCUGUUCCAAGAUGCCUGUUCCAAACUCCCAUCACUAAAGUUUAGGUAAUGUUCAAUGCAGCCAAGGGAGCUAAGGUAAUGAACAAAACAGAGAAGUUCCUACCCUCCCUGAUGUUCAUUCUAGCAAAUGGAGACAGAUGAUAGAAACUGCACAUCAUUGAGCAAGAGGGACACCAUGGAUAAUGGAAAGAUCUACGGCAAGGCUGGCUGUCUGCCCUGUCUAAGGAGGACGUACUGGACCAUCCUGCUCUGCACAUCCAGAUGUGUCCAUGAAUACAUCCAUAAAACGAUGGCCUGUGGAAUCCUAUAGGAAAAUGAUCCAGAGCCUGGGCGGUCAGAAGGAACAAACACUUGAUUUACAAAAUA